rnacentral:lncRNA from 1 species
CUUGGUCUGAGGCAGUAUCUUUAGUCACAGAGCAUAAGAGGUCCAGGCAGUACCAGCAGUCAAGCUGAGGUGGUGUUUCCCCUGUGUGUAUACUAGAGGCCCCUCUAGCAUCAAAACAACAGGAACCCCACAGUUCCUGGCUCUCCCAGCCCUUCUGUCAGUCCUGGAGCCAUAGCCUUUGCCCAGAGGCUGCACCCUGAGAUGCCCUCUCAAUUCCUCUUUCAGGUUCGCAGGGAACAGGCCAGCCGGGAGGUCGGGAGGCCCCAGAGGAGCACUGAAGGAGACCUGCCUGUGGGUCUCAAUUGCCCAGCUCCGGCCCACACUCGCCUG